AAGGUUUUGAACUUUUGAAACAAGUUUUGGAGCUUUGGGAACUCAGGAGCUCAUUUUCGUGGAUCUCCAAGUUUAGGUCGUCUCCCUCUCGAUCUUCAAGAGGUAAGAGCCGAUCUUAAGCUCCUUAUGUGUUUUAAGUAAGUUUUAAGUUGUUUUAUGGGUAGAAAUGCAUGUUAGGUUUUAAGUUGAGUUUAUGGGUUUUGUUGAUGAUUUGA
rnacentral:lncRNA from 1 species